GACGAACGCUGGCGGCGUGCUUAACACAUGCAAGUCGAACGAAGUGGCGCACGUGUGAGUAACGCGUAAUCAACCUGCCCUUCAGAGGGGGACCACAGUUGGAAACGACUGCUAAUACCGCAUACUGUAGGAGGGGAUUGCGUCGGAUUUGCUAGGUGGAGGGGUAACGGCCGACCAAGGCGAUGAUCAGUAGCCGGGCUGGGAGGAUGAACGGCGACAUUGGGACUGAGACACGGCCCAGACGCCUACGGGAGGCAGCAGUGGGGAAUCUUCCGCAAUGGACGAAAGUCUGACGGAGCAACGCCGCGUGAGUGAUGACGGCCUUCGGGUUGUAAAGCUCUGUUAAUCGGGACGCGGUACCGGAAUAGAAAGCCACGGCUAACUACGUGCCAGCAGCCGCGGUAAUUC
rnacentral:rRNA from 1 species